GGCUCAGUAGCUCAGUCGGUAGAGCAACGGACUGAAAAUCCGUGUGUCGGCGGUUCGAUUCCGUCCUGAGCCA
rfam:Pontibacillus yanchengensis Y32 contig82, whole genome shotgun sequence.